rnacentral:rRNA from 1 species
UACGUAUGGUGCGAGCGUUGUCUGGAUUUACUGGGCGUGAAGGGGGCGCAGGCGGCGCGCCAAGCCCGAUGUGAAAGCCCGGGGCUCAACCCCGGGACUGCAUUGGGAACUGGCGUGCUGGAGCGCCGGAGGGGCAGGCGGAAUUCCUGGUGUAGCAGUGAAAUGCGUAGAUAUCAGGAGGAACACCGGUGGCGAAGGCGGCCUGCUGGACGGAUACUGACGCUGAGGCCCGAAAGCGUGGGGAGCGAACAGG